AUUGGCAGAGCAAGAUUAGGCUGUAAGGCCUAAUGGACAUGGGAAAAGUUAAAAUUGCUCGGAGAAAGGUUUUGGGACACAGAGUGAAGUCUGCUCAGAUCCAUCUGUCUCCUUACUAUUUCAACCAAUAUACUCCCUCCUACAAAAAGUAUGUCUUCAGAAAGUGCACUCAGGUUGGAAAAGUGUGGAAAGAGCAGAUGAACUUACUGUCAGUGGCCAUAUGAUCCCUCACUGUUCAUUGUCUUCAUCACUAAGUAAGACCCACCAGGUAAGGCACUCACUCACACACUUUGGCUUCUCCUGGGCCAAGGUAACAAUAUAGC
rnacentral:lncRNA from 1 species